rnacentral:rRNA from 1 species
GACGAACGCUGGCGGCGUGCUUAACACAUGCAAGUCGAACGGAAAGACCCUGCUUUUGUGGGUUGCUCGAUUGGCGAACGGGUGAGUAACACGUGAGUAACCUGUCCUUGUCAUUGGGAUAACUUCUGGAAACUGGGGCUAAUACCGCAUAGGAGCUCCUGCUGCAUGUUGUGGGUUGGAAAGUUUCGGCGGUUGGGGAUGGACUGGCGGCUUAUCAGCUUGUUGGUGGGGUAGUUGCUUACCAAGGCUGUGACGGGUAGCCGGCCUGAGAGGGUGACCGGCCACAUUGGGACUGAGAUACGGCCCAGACUCCUACGGGACGCAGCAGUGGGGAAUAUUGCACAAUGGGCGGAAGCCUGAUGCAGCAACGCCGCGUGCGGGAUGACGGCCUUCGGGUUGUAAACCGCUUUCGCCUGUGACGAAGCGUGAGUGACGGUAAUGGGUAAAGAAGCACCGGCUAACUACGUG